rnacentral:rRNA from 1 species
UUGAGAGUUUGAUCCUGGCUCAGGAUGAACGCUGGCGGCGUGCCUUAAGCAUGCAAGUCGAACGGAAAUUUGUCGCAAGACGGAAAUCAGUGGCGGACGGGUGAGUAUAAGCAAGGAACGUACCUCCUUCUGGGACAUAGCUCGUCGAAAGACGGGGUAAUUUCCCAUGAGGCUUCACGGUCAAAGUGCGUAACUGCACGGAGGGAGAGCGGCCUUGUGGCUAUCAGCUUGUUGGUGGGGUAAUGGCCUACCAAGGCGAUGACGGCUAGGGGGCGUGAGAGCGCGACCCCCCACAAUGGCACUGAGACACGGGCCAUACAUCUACGGAUGGCAGCAACUGGGAAUCGUUGGCAAUGGGCGAAAGCCUGACCACGCGACGCCGCGUGAGGGAUGACGGCUCUCGGGUC